rnacentral:tRNA from 1 species
GCCCUCUUAGCUCAGUAGGUAGAGCGCAUCCAUGGUAAGGAUGAGGUCGCCGGUUCGAUUCCGGCAGUGGGCUCCA